rnacentral:lncRNA from 1 species
CUUCAGUCAGCCUCUUUGGUUGGAGAUUCUUUUCUUUGACUGGCCUUCAAUUUCUCAUUUUGAGCUUUCCCAAAGGACCAUAAGCAACAGUUUUUCUUGCAAGCAUUUUCUAGCGAUGGAAUCUAGGUUUUGGGGUUUCAACAGGCAGUGUGGAAGAUGAGGUGGUGUUGAGUGUGACUGGUGGUGGAGUUCCAGGAUUGUCUUGGGGAUUUGUCAUGGUGGAGAAUUUCUGGAAAUCUUUGGAGAAUUUUGGAGAAGAGAGUGGAUGAUCAGAGGUCUAAGUGUAGAAUGACG